AGUGAACGCUGGCGGCGUGCUUAACACAUGCAAGUCGAACGAGAACGGAUUAUAGCUUGCUAUAAUUGUCAGCUAAGUGGCGCACGGGUGAGUAAUGUAUAGGUAAUAUGCCUCUUACUAAGGGAUAACAAAUGGAAACGUUUGCUAAUACCUUAUACUCCUUAUUAACAGAAGUUAAUAAGGGAAAGAUUUAUUGGUAAGAGAUUAGCCUGUAUUGUAUCAGUUAGUUGGUGGGGUAAUGGCUUACCAAGACUAUGACACAUAACUGGUUUGAGAGGAUGAUCAGUCACACUGGAACUGAGACACGGUCCAGACUCCUACGGGAGGCAGCAGUGGGGAAUAUUGCACAAUGGACGAAAGUCUGAUGCAGCAACGCCGCGUGGAGGAUGACACAUUUCGGUGCGUAAACUCCUUUUAUAUGAGAAGAUAACUGACGGUAUUAUAGUGAAUAAGCACCGGCUAACUCCGUGCCAGCAGCC
rnacentral:rRNA from 1 species